rnacentral:rRNA from 1 species
GUCGAGCGGACCGACGGGAGCUUGCUCCCUUAGGUCAGCGGCGGACGGGUGAGUAACACGUGGGUAACCUGCCUGUAAGACUGGGAUAACUCCGGGAAACCGGGGCUAAUACCGGAUGCUUGAUUGAACCGCAUGGUUCAAUUAUAAAAGGUGGCUUCGGCUACCACUUACAGAUGGACCCGCGGCGCAUUAACUAGUUGGUGAGGUAACGGCUCACCAAGGCAACGAUGCGUAGCCGACCUGAGAGGGUGAUCGGCCACACUGGGACUGAAACACGGCCCAGACUCCUACGGGAGGCAGCAGUAGGGAAUCUUCCGCAAUGGACGAAAGUCUGACGGAACAACGCCGCGUGAGUGAUGAAGGUUUUCGGAUCGUAAAACUCUGUUGUUAGGGAAGAACAAGUACCGUUCGAAUAGGGCGGUACCUUGACGGUACCUAACCAGAAAGCCACGGCUAACUACGUGCCAGCAGCCGCGGUAAUACGUAUGUGGCAAGCGUUGUCCGGAAUUAUUGGGCGUAAAGCGCGCGCAGGCCGUUUCUUAAGUCUGAUGUGAAAGCCCCCGGCUCAACCGGGGAAGGUCAUUGGAAACUGGGGAACUUGAGUGC